AUUGAACGCUGGCGGCAGGCUUAACACAUGCAAGUCGAACGAGUGGCGGACGGGGGAGUAAUGCUUGGGAAUCUAGCUUAUGGAGGGGGAUAACUACGGGAAACUGUAGCUAAUAACGCGUACCAAAGGAAGAGCCCAAGUGGGAUUAGGUAGUUGGUGAGGUAAAGGCUCACAAAGCCUACGCUCUCUAGCUGGUCUGAGAGGAUGACCAGCCACACUGGGACUGAGAAACGGCCCAGACUCCUACGGUAGGCAGCAGUGGGGAAUAUUGCGCAAUGGGGGCAACCUGACGCAGCCAUGCCGCGUGAAUGAUGAAGGCCUUCGGGUUGUAAAGCACUUUUGGCAGGAAAGCGGUACCUGCAGAAUAAGCACCGGCUAACUACGUGCCAGCAGCCGCGGUAAUUC
rnacentral:rRNA from 1 species